rnacentral:lncRNA from 1 species
GUGACCACCUGGAGUGAAGCUCAGGAUUUGCCAGCCAGAACUUUGGCCUACCUGUCAGUCCUGCCCUGCGUGUCACCUCAGCCUGGAAGUCCAUAGGACUGUGAUGAAGAUGACUGCUUGCAUUUUCUGAAUCACUUUGUCGAUGAGACAUGCAUCCUAUUAGAUCUAACAAAGCUUCACAGAAAGGUUGUUUUGAAGUUGACACUGAGGAAGAUAUAAGUGCUCUAGGAUCAGUAUGUGAGGCUGCCACAAACAUGCUAUAGUCUGCACAUUCUUGCAGAGAGGUUGCAGAGUCUGCUUGGGAGAGAAGCCUCAAAAACAUGGCUGGUGUCUUGGCAGAGUUUGCUCUGGCCCCCAGGAGGGUGUACAAACAGCCUUCAUGAGAAGGUGACUUGCUGGCCACUCUUAACCACUAGAAGAAACUGAUGCCAUGGAACUUUGAAAAAUCAGAAAGCAAUUCCACAAAAGAAGAACCUCUGAAGAUAGUAGAGCCCAAUGAAGAUAAAUGACAUCGCCCAUAGGAGGGAACAGUGGUAUCAACCUAAAGGGGCUCACUGCCCUAUGUGCUGGAGGCCAAUACUAUGACAAUGGGUUUUUGAGAAAAUAAAAGCUUUGCAUUGAGAUUCAAC